UACAUUUGCAGUUUUCUUUUAUUAGGUGUGAAAUCUAAGAAUCCCCUGCCAACUCUUGAGGGUUCAAUCCAGAAUGUUGAAUUGAAGUACUGCGGCACAUCAUUGGUCAAAUGUGCCUCUGGGACCGUGGGAUCAAUAAAAAUUUGUGCCAAAGCCCCAGGUGACGGUGGAAAGGAGAAGCUGAUUCCUUUAAUUCAAGGCCCUUCUGACACCAGAGACUUACACAGCAGCAGAUGGCUCAAUGAAAGUAGAAAGCCAGAAUCUCUCUUAGCUCCAGACUUGGUAGCCUUUACAAUCCAAAUUCCACAGUGUAUGGACUACUGCCAUAAUUCCGGUGCGGUACUCUUAUCCAGUGUACAAGGAUUAGCAAUUAAUGUUGAUCCAGUCCUGUACACCUGGCUUAUCUACCAACCUCAGAAACGAACUGGUAGACACCUUCAGCAG